GAGGCAGGAUCUGAACGCAGGCAGCUUUCUCCAGAAACCAGCCCUUAACCACGACACCACAGCUCUCUCAGAGGCAGGAUCCUAUCUGAAUCCUGUUGCUCAGAGAACAAGGCAAAGUUAGCAGGACGAAGGGACAAGUGACUCUGUGACUCCUGUCUUGACAGCCAAGAGCCAGUCAUGUAAGUGAGGUCAUCCUACAUUGGCUAAUCCCAAGCCAAUCUUCCAGCUGACCAGAGGCCCAUGAGCCACUGCAGGAAAAAUGAUGUCAAUUAAUAUGGGUAGCUCACACUGCUUCAGCUGCACUGUGAAACACCUUCUCCUGAAAGGUCUCUUCUCGGACUGCCAAGGAUGUCAACAGUCAGAACGUUCUGCAAAAUGGCAGGUAGGCAAGGUGGUGACUUCCACAAUGGACAA